rnacentral:rRNA from 1 species
AUGGUUAGUGCCAAGAGGCUUGCUCAGAUGGCAAAGAAGUGGCAGAGGAUGGCGGCCAUGGGGAGGAAGAGGCUCACCCGAACCACGACAGCGGCGAAAGGAGCAGCCAAUGACGAGUGCUGUGAAACUUCACCGUCGGUGGCGAUGAAGGGCCACUGUGUGGUGUACACCCCCGACAGUGUGCAGUUCGAGGUGCCACUGGCAUACCUCGGAACGGCGGUCUUGAGCGAGCUCCUGGCGAUGUCCCAGGAGGAGUUUGGCUUUGCAGGCGGCAAUGAUGGAAGGAUCAUGCAAUCUUUGAUUGCAUAUUUCAAUCAUCAAAUUCAGAAAUAA